rnacentral:rRNA from 1 species
GCCUACGGGAGGCAGCAGUGAGGAAUAUUGGUCAAUGGUCGGGAGACUGAACCAGCCAAGCCGCGUGAGGGAUGAAGGUACAGAGUAUCGUAAACCUCUUUUGUCAGGGAACAAAGGCGGGGACGUGUCCCCGGAUGAGUGUACCUGAAGAAAAAGCAUCGGCUAACUCCGUGCCAGCAGCCGCGGUAAUACGGAGGAUGCGAGCGUUAUCCGGAUUUAUUGGGUUUAAAGGGUGCGUAGGUGGUUAAUUAAGUCAGCGGUGAAAGUUUGUGGCUCAACCAUAAAAUUGCCGUUGAAACUGGUUG